GAAUAAAUGAAUGACUUGUUUUCACAACAUAUCAUUUAUUUUUAUUGACCUCGUUGCGAAACUCCAAUCCAACAAAUGUAUAAGAUGUCACUAAAUUCCCUUUGCCUUAAUCCUAUCAACCAAAAAUGGUAAUAAUCAAAUAAAAAAAAUAUUAUGGCAAUUAUAACAACCAAAAUGAAGCAAAAUUAUUCAAUUGAAUGGUUGAUAACAUUAGGAAAUUAGGCUCUUAAAAUUAAACAGCAUAAUUCACAAAUGUAAUGGAUCUUUGAUUUCCUCUCUUCUU
rnacentral:misc_RNA from 1 species